AAAAGCCUACAUGNCAGUCGAACGGAGUUGUUGUACAGAAGUUCUUCGGGAUGGAAGUAUAAGAACUUAGUGGCGGACGGUGUGAGUAACGCGUGGGUAACCUGCCCUUUUGUGGGGAACAACUUCGAGAAAUCGGAGCUAAUACCGCAUAAUAAUAGAGAAUCGCAUGAUUCUUUAAGGAAAGAUGGCCUCUGAAGAUGCUAUCGCAAAAGGAUGGACCCGCGUCUGAUUAGCUAGUUGGAAGGGUAACGGCCUACCAAGGCGACGAUCAGUAGCCGGCCUGAGAGGGUGAACGGCCACAUUGGGACUGAGACACGGCCCAAACUCCUACGGGAGGCAGCAGUGGGGAAUCUUCCGCAAUGGGCGAAAGCCUGACGGAGCGAUGCCGCGUGAGUGAAGAAGGCCUUCGGGUUGUAAAACUCUGUCCUUAUCGAAGAGGGGUGGGUAUGUGAAUAAUGUACUCAUAGGGCGGUAGAUAAGGAGGAAGCCCCGGCUAACUACGUGCCAGCAGCCGCGGUAAUACGUAGGGGGCGAGCGUUGUCCGGAAUCACUGGGCGUAAAGGGCGCGUAGGCGGUUUAAUAAGUCAGUGGUGAAAACUGAGGGCUCAACCCUCAGCCUGCCACUGAUACUGUUAGACUUGAGUAUGGAAGAGGAGAAUGGAAUUCCUAGUGUAGCGGUGAAAUGCGUAGAUAUUAGGAGGAACACCAGUGGCGAAGGCGAUUCUCUGGGCCAAGACUGACGCUGAGGCG
rnacentral:rRNA from 1 species